rnacentral:rRNA from 1 species
GACGGAGGGGGCAAGCGUUGUCCGGACUCACUGGGCGUAAAGGGUGCGCAGGCGGCAGAGCGCGUCCGCGCUGAAAUCUGUCGGCUUAACUGACAGGCGCGUGCGGAUACGGCUCAGCUCGAGGCACGGAGAGGGUGGGGGAACUCCUGGUGUAGUGGUGAAAUGCGUAGAGAUCAGGAAGAACACCCGUGGCGCAAGCGCCCACCUGGCCGUGACCUGACGCUGCGGCACGAAAGCGUGGGGAGCGAACCGG